UUUUUCUUCAAGGUGUGGGGAUAGCCAUUGGAAUAAAAAAGGCUUAGUUCAAUUUUCCACAUUCAAUAUGGUCUGCUAUAUAUCUUGAUGAAGCAUCUAUCUGACCAUUGAAAGUCUGAUAUAAAUCAACAGACGCCUAUCAAUUGUCCCAUAAAUUCCUGCAAUCAUCUUCUGCUUCCAACUUUUGCUUCAACUCAUUUCUUUCAUCUUUGCGAGAAAGAGACGAUGGCUGAAAUGAUCCUCAGUUUCGGGGUGGAUGCAACUUUGUCCAGGGUGGCUUCGCUCAUCACCGAUGAAAUCAUCGGUGCUUGGAAUCUCAAGGACGACCUGAAAGGCCUUCAAGAAUCCCUCACCAUGAUUGGUGGUGUGCUUCAAGAUGCAGAGGAGCAGCAAACCAGAAGGGAGCAUGUCAGGCUUUGGCUGAAGAAGCUCAAAGAAGUAGCUUAUGAGGCCGAGGAUGUCUUUGAUGAGUUGGCCUAUGAGAAUCUUCGACGAAAGGUUGAGAUGCAAAGGCAAGACCAAUCGGGAACAGAGAUACAAAACUGUUUUUCAUUGUCCAAAGGCACUCGUUGUGUUAAAAAGGCAGCACUUCAUUUCAAAAUGGCCCACAAAGUUAAGAAUACAAAUGAAUCGUUGAAUAAGAUUAAGAAUGAUGCUAUGGGUUUUGGACUUCAAAUUAUAUCAAGACAGCACCAAAUGAACUUGGAUCGGCUAACAAAUUCAGUCCUUGACAACCCAGGUGUGGGGAGGGAAGCUGAUGUCUCUAAGAUUGUGAACUUGCUGAGUCGCUCCUGUGACCAAGUUCUCACCGUUGUCCCAUAGUGGGCAUGGGCGGUCUGGGAAAGACAACCUUUGCUAGAUUGGUGUGUCAAGAAGUAAUAGAAGGAAAAAAGCUUUUUGAUCUUAAAAUAUGGGUCUGUGUCUCUGAUCACUUUGAUUACGGAAGAAUUUUAGGGGAAAUGCUGCAAACUCUUGAUGGAAGUAUGGGUGGAGUUACCAACUUAGAUGCAAUACUUGGACAUCUUACAAAGGCGUUGGAAGGCAAAAAGUUUCUACUUGUUCUUGAUGAUGUUUGGAAUAAUGAACCUGAGAGGUGGAAUGAGUUGAAAACUUGUUUGAUAAGAAUUAUUAGAAACAAUGGAAAUGCUAUUCUUGUCACAACUCGUACGGAGGAAGUGGCAUCGAUAGUGGAGAGUUCUACUCAUUACAGGUAUAAACUGGGUGGGUUAUGUCAUGAUGCAUGCUGGUCCAUUAUGAAGGAAAGGGCACUGAUUGGCAAAGUGAAUGCAUAUAGUCCAUCAAAUGAAAAUAUGAUAUUUAUACUCACUUUGAUUUACUUAGAACUAAGCAGGUGAAUGUAUUUUCCUUAAGCAUUUUAAGUUUGUAUUAUCCACUGUUAGUAAGACUUUACAAUAUUAUAUGAUUUCUUAAGACACAUGGCAGGAAUGAUGCAGAUACAAAUGGAGAUUUUUGUAAGAACGAGUUUACUGCACCAAGAAAGAAAAACGGCCAGUUUCAUUAACUUGUUUUCGAUGGAACAGAUAAAUAUUCACAAUUAAAGAAGACAAGCAAGCAUGUCUUCAUUUGGGGAAGACGCCUAAUUUUGGAAGGGUUCAAUCAUUUGCAAGUUCUUGUUGGACCUCAUGCACUUGAAGAACUAGUUGACUGCAAUAGAUUUGGUGGCUCCAGUUCCACUCGCUCUUAUGGUGAUUUUCUUCACAAGGUAGCUUUGCAAUUUCAGGAAGCGAAAAUGUUGGAAGGUGGUCCUCCGCAUGAUAUUUCAUGAGGUCAUUUAUGUAGCUGGAGGCCUUCAUUUUAAUUCCAUGAUAUAAAACCCUUUUCAAUAAUUGCUUUGAAUAUUUUCAAUUUGAAAACCAGUAGUCUCUAAUGAGUAAUGGCCAAAGCAAUAUAAAAAAAUAUAACAACUCAAUUUAUUGAAGGAGAUUAGGAUUACUUACGGGGAAAUUUUAAGCUUCUAGCUUGUGUGCAAGAAUUGGAUUAUUAAUGAAGAUAUUUUACUGUUUGUUAAAACUUGCUAUUUUGAGCAGUUCUGAUAAUCUUACAAUUUGUUAGAGAUUGCAGGAUGCAAGAUAAUUUCAGAUACACAGCUGCAAUGUUUUCUCUGGAAUUUUCUGCUUUCAUUUGAGCCAGCUGGGAAAGGCCAACAAAUGGUUCAACUGAGUAGAAGGAAUGUCUUUGGUGCUGUCAACAUUAUCCCAAGUGGUAGACAAAGGGAUUACGCUUGCUAAAUUUCGAGUUCGAGCAAUAAGACAGAACUGAAAUCGAGUUCGAGCAAUAAGACAGAACUGAAAUAGAGAUAAGUUCACAUCACCAACUUGUACUUUGAGCCUCCAGUUCUCCUGAAAUUGACAGCAUUUUUCCACUAAAACUGACUAGAGGACCGAGUAAUCUCACCUUCUGGAAUCAUUAGAAGAUGCAAUAAGGGCAGACAGAAGUAAUGAUAACUCUCCUCUCUGUUCAAUUCUACUUCCUGCAAUCACUUUGCUCUAACCCAGGUUGUUUUUGUCCAUAUAUUGACGCAAGCAAAUACAGUUGCUGAUUCUUUAGCCAAACAGGGUCAAUCUCCAGUUCGAUCUUGGGCCAUUGUUUUAGAAUUGUUUUGGCUUCAGACUUUUUUCUUGUUCCACUAUGUUGUCAGUUUGGUUGGUUGGCUCCUCCUUUGCUUUGGCCUUUUUGGAGUGAGGUGCUUGCUGUUUUAGGUCGGGUUCUUUGGGGAAUGCCUGUUGGCAUGGGUUAGGUAGCAGCUCUUCUCACCUCCAGUUUCUUUCUUUUCUUCAAUAAAAUUUCUUGCUUAUAUAUAUAAAAACUAGUGAUAACUGUUGUUUGUACAACUUGAGCUUUGAGCUUCCAGUUUAAAAACAUCCUUCAACUAAAGAUUGAAUGAAUGAACAAUUGAACUCACUUUGCAAUUAGAACCAUUAGAAGAUGGAGCAUGACUUUGCCCAUAGGACACAAGAAGCUUUCCUUAUUGCAGUUGUACAUAUUGUUAGAUAAUCUUGAUUAUUGAAUUGUAUCAUGUAUGUUA